GAUGAAGAACGUAGCGAAAUGCGAUAAGUAAUGUGAAUUGCAGAAUUCAGUGAAUCAUCGAAUCUUUGAACGCAAAUUGCGCCCCCUGGUAUUCCGGGGGGCAUGCCUGUCCGAGCGUCAUUACAACCCUCAAGCUCAGCUUGGUGUUGGGCCCCGCCGCCCCGGCGGGCCCUAAAGUCAGUGGCGGUGCCGUCCGGCUCCGAGCGUAGUAAUUCUUCUCGCUCUGGAGGUCCGGUCGUGUGCUCGCCAGCAACCCCCAAUUUUUUUCAGGUUGACCUCGGAUCAGGUAGGGAUACCCGCUGAACUUAAGCAUAUCAAUAAGCGGAGGA
rnacentral:misc_RNA from 1 species